AUCUAUAGCAUGGAACUGAGGUGCAUAAUAUUCACCCCAGCGGUGUUUCUUAAGGAAAUGGACCACAUUGAGUUCUUUCCCUUUAAAACACAGAGGAAAAAGAAGGCAUUUUUCUAAAACACUUUGACUUUCCUAAGGCUAACAUACUCCAUUUACAUCAACAGCAGACAAAGGGAGAAUUUCACUCUAAUUCCAGAAUCUUAAUGGAAACCCCUUCAGUUUCUGUAGCAUAAUGGAACAGUACAGCCACCAGAAACACAGAUCGGGAGCUUUCUGUACACAAAACCCUGACCUGGAGUCCCAAGCAGGGCCAGGAGUGAGGACAGGAAUGUUCCGUUCACUUGACUUUGCAUAACUCCCUUGGAGAGAUUCAGAGCUCAGAAGCCCUGGUGUGGUUGUGAGCGGCCACCGGAAGGCAUCAAGUCAAAGUAAAGUCUGCCAGCCUGACACCCUAGAGCAGGGAGCACUGGCCUUCUCAAUAAAUAUUUGAGA
rnacentral:lncRNA from 1 species